ACACGACUACAUUAGAUACCCGGGUAGUCCAGGGUGUAAACGCUGCAGACUUGGUGUUGGGAACCCUCGGGGUGCUCAGUGCCGGAGAGAAGUUGUUAAGUCUGCUACUUGGGAGUACGUCCGCAAGGAUGAAACUUAAAGGAAUUGGCGGGGAGCACCGCAACGGGAGGAGCGUGCGGUUUAAUUGGAUUCAACGCCGAAAACUCACCAGCAGCGACUGUUACAUGAAAGUCAGGUUGAUGACCUUACUAGAUUUUCAG
rnacentral:rRNA from 1 species